rnacentral:lncRNA from 1 species
CAGAGGGGAUCGCAGUGGAGACUGCACUCGCUUCAGCAGUUACCAGCUCUGGUAAUAUCUGUUGAGCAACUGCUCCAUGGCAGGGCUGGGGAGGUGGCCCGUGAACAAAUUGGCCAGGGCAGGUCCCUGCUCCGACCUGUGGUGCUUGCAGUCACCGUCUGGGGAGGGACUGCAAAACCACACAGACAGUACGACAGACGGUGCACCAUGAGGAGAAGGUCUGGCUUCCAUGAACAUGUGCCACAGCGGGAGCAAAGUAAAUGAGAUUGGAGGGGGCCAGGAGGAAAUGACAUUGAAGCUCAGAGGAAGAGAAUUUAACCAGGACUGGACUGUCUUCCGGGGGCGAUCAGAGCAAAGGCGCUAAGAUGACAGGAGCCACUAUGCGUCUGAAGAAGCCAGGGGCCUGCAGAGGGAGGCAGCCGCUGUUGGGAGGUCACAGAGCGUCUGCAGCUGACUGGGAAGCCCUCCUAACUGGCGCACCUGAGGGGCUGGGUGCCCGUCUGCUGCUUCUGGCUGCCCUGGCCCGCAGUAGUAGUAAGUCUCCUCCUCACCUCCCUCUGGCCCAAGCAUGGAAAACACCAAGUCUUCCUGUCUCCUGAACACAGUUGGGACUAGUGGG